CCAGACUCCUACGGGAGGCAGCAGUGAGGAAUAUUGGUCAAUGGGCGGAAGCCUGAACCAGCCAAGUCGCGUGAGGGAAUAAGGCCCUACGGGUCGUAAACCUCUUUUGCCGGGGAGCAAGGGCGGGGACGUGUCCCGGCCCGGAGAGUACCCGGAGAAAAAGCAUCGGCUAACUCCGUGCCAGCAGCCGCGGUAAUACGGAGGAUGCGAGCGUUAUCCGGAUUUAUUGGGUUUAAAGGGUGCGUAGGCGGUUUUUAACGUCGGGGGAAAAAUUGCGGGCCCCACCCCCGCCGAGCCGUCGGAACUGGGGGCCUUGAGUGCGGCGGAGGCAUGCGGAAUGCGCGGUGUAGCGGUGAAAUGCAUAGAUAUCGCGCAGAACCCCGAUUGCGAAGGCAGCGUGCCGUGCCGCCACUGACGCUGAGGCACGAAAGCGCGGGGAUCGAACAGGAUUAGAUACCCUUGUA
rnacentral:rRNA from 1 species